CGUCAGUGCGGCCCUUGUCAGCAUGCAGGUUUGCUGAUUUCCUCACCAUUGUUUGCCUAGCUGGCUCAGGCUGGCAACCGAGCACC
rnacentral:SRP_RNA from 10 species